rnacentral:rRNA from 1 species
AACGAACGCUGGCGGCGCGCCUAAUACAUGCAAGUCGAGCGAGAAGGUGUAGCAAUACACUUGUAAAGCGGCGAACGGGUGAGGAAUACAUGGGUAACCUACCCUCGAGUGGGGAAUAACUAGCCGAAAGGUUAGCUAAUACCGCAUACGAUUCCAGGACUUCGGUCCUGGAAGGAAAGCACUACCGUGGGUAGUGCGCUCCUGGAUGGGCUCAUGUCCUAUCAGCUUGUGGUGAGGUAAUGGCUCACCAAGGCUUCGACGGGUAGCUGGUCUGAGGAGGACGAUCA